ensembl:snoRNA U3 Small nucleolar RNA U3
AAGGCUAUUCUUUCAGGGAUCAUUUCUGUAGUUCCUUUCUAGAGAAGUUUCUCUAACUAUGUAGAGUACCAGAAAUCAGAGACAUAGCAUUCUCUCCUGAGCAUGAAAGCUGGCUGUUGGUGUUGCUUUGCUGCAACUGCCAUUUACCAUUGAUGACUGUUCUCUCUUUCCAGAGAGUAGUGGGAGAGGAUGCAGCCUGAGUGGU